CACGUAGGGCGCAAGCGUUGUCCGGAAUUAUUGGGCGUAAAGAGCUCGUAGGCGGUUCGUCGCGUCGGCUGUGAAAACCCGGAGCUCAACUCCGGGCCUGCAGUCGAUACGGGCGGACUAGAGUUCGGCAGGGGAGACUGGAAUUCCUGGUGUAGCGGUGGAAUGCGCAGAUAUCAGGAGGAACACCAAUGGCGAAGGCAGAUCUCUGGGCCGUAACUGACGCUGAGGAGCGAAAGCAUGGGGAGCGAACAGG
rnacentral:rRNA from 1 species